ensembl:lncRNA
UCACAUAAACUUUUUAGAAAUUUUUCUUGCCAGCAAUUACAAUUUUACUUCCUGUUUUUAUUUUUGUUGGCACAGUUUGGGAAACUGCAAUUCCUCUUAAACAUGUGUAGAAGGGUUCUAUAUUUUAAGGAAAAUUCAAUAAUCAUAUAUGUCUCAACAUUGAAAUUUGUGCGAAUGACACAAGAGCCUAUUGUCCAUCAAUGUCUCCUAAAGAUGUUUUCAUAAAACAUGAAUAAAUCCAUUAAAAGUUCAAAACUUCACUUGUAAAUGACACUUUAGAGUUGUAUUUUUAUUUUCAGAGGGAGUGAAAUUUAAUGCACAUAGGAGGCUUCAUGUAAAGGUUGCCACAGCUACUAUAUGUCACAAAGGACUGCUUUUUCUCUUUGCUUCCUCAUUUCUUUUUAACUAACUUUCUUCUGUAUGGGUGUAUGUGUCCAUUUUCUUUUGAAAAGGUGAGUGAGAAAAGAUGAAGUCUAUUUGGGCAUGAAUUAAAAUAGGAACUCACCUGAAGGUGGUAAUGUAGUCACUGCUUGAUGAAAAUGUAAACGCAGGCUCCUAAGAACCAAUCCCUGUAUUUUCUCUGGAAGUGGUGGGUCAGGAUCCUCCAGUGCACUGUUUGUGUGCACAUCAUACCACAGAGCUACAAAAAUGAGGGAAAUGAUCACUUCUUUUCAGUACUAGAUAAGAACUGAUCAAUGACGACCGACAGAAUAAUAGUAGCCCCAGCCAUAGCCAAAGAGUUUAAGAACAUUUUAAAAAUAAUACCACAAAUACAAAUAUGCCCUAAAUUUUUGCUUAAGUCAGUAAUUCAUUCCUUUUCCUCUUUUAAUAUUUGACCAUAUUCUCAGAGGAUAGGAAGCUAUCCUGUUGGUACACGUCUUUGUGCCUGCACACAUAUAUGUGUAUGUAUGUUUAUCUGCAUCUGGAUACUUGUAAUGUUGCAUGAGCGUAUUUUCACUGAAUUUAAAUGUGCCCUGUGUUUCUAUGCCAUGGUAUUGACAUGUAUCUUUCCAUUUUAUUUUUCAGAUGAUCAUAUGAAGGAAUGUGGUAAAUUUCUCUGACAUCCUUUAUACUCCAAUCACCCUCUAAAUGACCACUAUCUCCAGGUCUUUUGCAUUCCCUUUCUUUUUAUCUAUAUGCCUUCUGUUGGCUUACUCUUUCUCCUGGAUGUUGAUGCUUCCCUUCCCAAUAUUUCUUUAUAAAAUCACUCAAAUGAAGUUCUGUCUUCUCUCUUUCACUACCCUUAAUUCUUUUCCAAUCCUUUAUUUUCAUUUAGCAAGAGCCUCCAUAUUAAUAUUGUCUUUUCUAGCAUCCAGAGUCUUUCCAGAUUUUCACUAUGAAUUUUAUGAGCUGAAGGAAUGAGGCUGAUGGGCACCUAGUUUGCAUUUUAUAUGUAUUUUCUAGAAAUUAUACAUUAAGUUAGAACCUCUUUAAUGUGUCUCAAAUUCAAGGGGCUAUUACUAUGCAAUUGAUACCUUUGCAAACAUCACAAGAUGGGCUAAGUCUUCAAACUAGAUGAGUGAACUUUCUCCAUCCAUUGUCCUUUAAAAGACUAUAUAAAUUUAGAUGUAAUUAAUUGGACCAUUGUGGACUUUAGCUCACUUUCACCUGACCUGAUCAUUUACUCACAUAUUUCUGAGCAGACAAAUUUUUAAUAUCAUUUCCCAGGUUUAAAUUAAAUCCUAUCACAGUAGUUGUUCUUUUUACUGAAUAAUUUGGACAUAAUCUAGAAUAAUGACUACUACGUUCAAGUACUUGUAGAAGGAGCCCCCAUUUAUAGUUCUCAAUUUUGAAAUGUUAUGCAAGUGAUAUAAGAGACACCAGUCCUAGAAUACUCCUAUGAUAUUUAAUAGCACACUACUAAAAGUUUAACAUCCUUUUUUUACUAACCAUAUUUUCAACCAUACUUUUGUUUACACAUUGAAUAGAAUUAAGGGAUACAUCUCUUUAAUAUAUGGAGCAGACAUCAUGCCACUAUUGUUACAGAUAUAAAUUUAGAUGGAUAGAUGGCUUCACUGUAAUCUCCCUCAACACUUCUUAAGUUUUUGCUCAUGUAGAGGGGCAGGAUUGUACUAUAUUCUGAAAACAAAAAAGCUUCAAUGAAGGAUGAAUGAUUGACGUCAUCUUUCGCAGAAUAAGUCCUAUUUUACUUCUUAUCACAGUGUCAUUUUCCAUUUUCUUCCUUUUGCUCCAAGAGUUGGAUGUAGUACAACAUUGCAUCUGAUUGGCAAGUUGUUCCUUAGAAAUCUGUGUUUCCACUUUUCAAACUAUCUGUCAUUUUAAACCACAAACUAUACUACAAAAGGGCUCCAAGUUUCUGUCUUCCUCCCAUUAGAAUGUAGCCUCAAAAUUGUUUUGUUUUCUUUAGUUUUAUAGCCUACUGAUAGGGUCCUUAAAAUUUUAAUCUCCUCCUUUUACAGUAUCAUUUUCCAGGUACAAUUUUUUAUCAAAUGGAAUGGUAUUAGGGAAUGUAUUUCCUUAAUUCAUGUAGCUGGCUUCAUAGGACUAUUUCUACAAAAAGAGUUUGGACAAAUCGGUACUUACCCUCUUCACAUCUUCGAUUAUUUUUAAAUAGCUCUCUUGUGUAUGAGUAUGUUUGCAAGUUAUUCUGAGACAGUUAGACGGCUCAAUGCAGGACAAAUGAUUGAUAUUGUUGACCCCCGAGGAAGUCCUGGUCUACGUCCUUCUGUGGUGUCAUUUCUGUUCUUAGUUAAUUUGACAAAAAAAGGGGGGAAUGCAAGUCAAACCAACUUUCCUCUGAUUUAUGGAAAGCCCUAGAAAGUUUAUGGUGCCAAUUCUUGGAAAAUGUGGGUCAGGGUAAGAAGAGCAUAGUACUGGAAGGUCCCAAAUUUGAGCCUGUUGGCUUCAUCUUAUUGAGCCUUCAUUUGGAAUGCAUUUGAUUUUUUUUAAUAUUUCAUCAAUAAGUGUGAAGAGGAAAACAGCAAGUCCCAUUCAUGUAUUUCCUUGUGCACCUAGGUAUGGAUUCACCAUUUUCCUGCACCUUUAUCUUCAGUUUUCUAUGACCAUCUUUCUCAAAUCCAACAUAUGCAUAUCUUUAUGUGACUUUUGUCUCAGUAUCUAAUCUUUUCAACUGAAAUUCUCCAUCUUAUACUCCAUUAAUUUUCCCCAUUAUAAUUUUUUAUUUGACAUUUCCUUUCAACUGUCAUGGUGGUGGUGGUGGUUAGUGGCUAAGUUGUGUCUGACUCUUGUGACCCCAUGGACUGUAGCCCACCAGACUGCUCUGUCCAUGGGAUUUUACAAGCAAGGAUACUGCAGUCAGUUGCCUUUUCCUUUUCCAAGGGAUCUUCCCAGUCCAGGGUUUGAACUUCUCAAUGGAGGUAGUCUUCUCCAUUGCAAGCAAAUUUUUUACCUACUGAGCCACCAGGGAAGCCCUUUCAAUGGGCAUAACCAGAUCCUUUGUGCCAUGUAAAUCUUAAUAAUCAUAUAGCUCUGGGACUCUGGCAUUUUUCAAGGACUGAUGUGAAUGUUUUUUCACAUAUGUACCCACGUCAUUUGAUUUUAGCCCCCUUUUCUUAUGUUUCUUGGGUCAUUUCCUUUUUUAUGUGAUCUAAUUAAGAUGACCUGCAUUUUGUCAUGAACUGAAAUAGAUAUAAACACAAAAGAAAGUUUUGUACGCAUCUGUUGUCAAAAAAUGGUGUGAAUAGAGGAACUCAGGAAUCUAAAUCCAGUUUUUGUCUCUUGGAGCAGUGGUUCAGGAUUCUCUGAUUCAGUGUUUGUGGUGGCUUUAUAUAACAGAGCUAUAGAAAAAUGAGAAUUGACACCAUAUAUUUAGUAGUAGCCAAUAAACUUAUUAGAGCAAGAAUACUGACUAAUAAAUGUCAAAUGUCUUAAUAAUGUCAAAUGGAUUGUGAACAUAUUGAAAAAUUUAACUACUAAGACAAAUAUUCCUAAAAAUUUUCCUCCAUUUGGAAUGUCUUCUCUUCAUUCAGAAUAAUAAAAAUGUGCUUUUUCCUCACUUUUUUGUAGAAUAUUGUCUAGAAGAAAAGAAGCGGCUUUCAGCCAACAUUGAUGAUCUUUGGAAAAUAACUGAAGAACUUCAACACCAAUUUGGUAAAGUAUCUUUGAAGUCAUGUUACUCCCAAAACACAUUAAAAUGACUGUAUUUCUGAUGGAUUUUUAACAUUUCUCACUGUUUUAUUGGUCUGUCAUUCAAAGCUUCACGCUACUCCGCAUGUCUACUUCUCUAACCUGAAUUUUUAGGUUGGAGCUUCUCUCCUAGUUGUCUCUCCUCAUUGUCUUCCAAAGUCAGUAUCAAUUCUGAUAUAUUUUAAGGGUCAAGAGUAAAGUUGAGAGUCAUUUUCUCACUGACCUUGAACUUAUUACCCAUCUGUUCCAGAGUAUUCAUACAGAUAUUUCACCUAAACUUUUUAGAAAUUUUUCUUGUCAACAAUUGCACUUUUACUUCCUGUUUUUAUUUUUGUUGGCACAAUUUGGGAAACUGCAAUUCCUCUUAAACGUGUGUGCUAAGUCACUUCAGUCGUGUCCGACUCUGUGCGACCCCCUAGAUGGCAGCCCACCAGGCUCCCCCGUCCCUGGGAUUCUCCAGGCAAGAACACUGGAGUGGCUUGCCAUUUCCUUCUCCAAUGUAUGAAAGUGAAAAGUGAAAGUGAAGUUGCUCGGUCGUGUCCGACUCUUAGCGACCCCAUGGACUGUAGCCCACCAGGCCCCUCCAUCCAUAGGAUUUUCCAGGCAAGAAUACUGGAGUGGGGUGCCAUUGCCUUCUCCAAAAUGUGUGUAGAAG